AUGGUAGCAGCCACAGAGGAGGAACCGUCCAAAGGAGGAUCAGAGGAAGCUUUGGCCGUCGUGAAUCCUGCGGGCCAAGCCGCCGUCACAGGGUCGGGCGACAGCGCGGACCAUCAGACCGGCGAACCCGACGCGACGAUUACGAGGCCGCCGUCGCGUAAUAGUUACGCGGCCGUCGUCAUCGGCGGCACCUUCGACCGCCUGCACCGCGGCCACCACCUCUUCCUCCAGGCGGCGGCGGAGCUGGCGAGGGAGCGGAUCGUGAUCGGCGUCUGCGACGGCCCGAUGCUCGCCAAGAAGAAGGUAGGCUGGUCACAGUGGUGA
rnacentral:rRNA from 1 species